rnacentral:rRNA from 1 species
CCUACGGGAGGCAGCAGUGGGGAAUAUUGGACAAUGGGCGCAAGCCUGAUCCAGCAAUGCCGCGUGGGUGAAGAAGGUUUUCGGAUUGUAAAGCCCUUUUGGCAGGGACGAUGAUGACGGUACCUGCAGAAUAAGCCCCGGCUAACUUCGUGCCAGCAGCCGCGGUAAU